UACGGAGGGUGCAAGCGUUAUCCGGAUUCACUGGGUUUAAAGGGUGCGUAGGCGGGUUGGUAAGUCCGUGGUGAAAUCUCCAAGCUUAACUUGGAAACUGCCGUGGAUACUAUCAAUCUUGAAUGUCGUGGAGGUAAGCGGAAUUCCACAAGUAGCGGUGAAAUGCGUAGAUAUGUGGAAGAACACCCGUGGCGAAGGCGGUUUUCUAUUUUAUUCCUGACGCUGAGGCGUGAAAGCAAGGGGAUCAAACAGGG
rnacentral:rRNA from 1 species